UAAUAAGAAGCAAUUAUUGCAUUUAGUUUCGACCUAAAAGUUUGAUAAUAAAUAUUAUCCUUAUUUU
rnacentral:tRNA from 1 species